rnacentral:rRNA from 1 species
CCAGCAGCCGCGGUAAUUCCAGCUCCGCAAGUGUAUUCCUAUACUGUUGCGUUUAAAUAGCUCGUAGUUGGAUCUGCGUGUUUAGCGCGCGGUGCCAUUUGUUUUGGUUACUGUGCCGCGGCACUUUAGUGCUUGUUUCCGCGAUGCUCUCGCGAGUGUCGUGGUCAUGAGCGAAGUUUACUUUGAACAAAUCAGAGUGCUCAAAACGGGCGUUUCGCUCGAAUGUUCUUGCAUGGAAUAAUGGAAUAGGACCGCGCGUUCUAUUUUGUUGGUUUUCGGGACGCGGGUAAUGAUUAAGAGGGACAGACGGGGGCAUUUGUACUGCGACGUGAGAGGUGAAAUUCUUGGAUCGUCGCAAGACAG